AUGGAGACCCAGCAGGAGCCGACCAAAGCGGGCGAGCCGGCCGGCGGCGGCGCCGGAGUUCUCGAGAAUGGACCUCCGGCGCCAUCAACAGCACAGCAAGGACCUGCAGCCCCUCCGGGUUCAGCAACUGACAGAGAUGCGGUGCUUGCCAAGGUGGAGAUGAAUCGGAAACUGUCCAUGGUUAAGGCGUGGGAGGAGAACCAGAAGAGCAAGGCCGACAACAGGGCCGAGCACAAGAUGUCGUCUAUCCUAUCAUGGGAGAAUACCAAGAAGGCCGCGGUCGAAGCCAAGCUCCGAACACGGGAGGAGAAGCUGGAGAAGAAGAAGGCGGAGUACGCGGAGCAGAUGCGGAACCGGGUCGCCAUGAUCCACAAGGAGGCGGAGGAGCAGCGGGCCCUCGUGGAGGCGAGGCGGCAGGAGGAGAUGAUCAAAUACCAGGAGACGGCGGCCAAGCACCGCUCCAAAGGGACCACGCCCGCCAAGAAGUUCCUCACCUGUUUCGGAUGA
rnacentral:rRNA from 1 species